AAGUCUUUACAGAGAAAGCUUUAUGCACCAUUGGAUGAGCCUGCACUUGAUUAGUUUGUUGGUGGGGUAAUGGCCUACCAAGACUUUGAUCUAUAGCUGAUCUGAGAGGAUGAUGAGCCACAUUGGGACUGAGACACGGCCCAAACUCCUACGGGAGGCAGCAGUAGGGAAUAUUGCACAAUGGAGGAAACUCUGAUGCAGCGAUGCCGCGUGAGUGAAGAAGGCCUUUGGGUUGUAAAGCUCUUUCGUCGGGGAAGAAAAUG
rnacentral:rRNA from 1 species